rnacentral:rRNA from 1 species
GAUGAACGCUGGCGGCGUGCCUAAUACAUGCAAGUCGAUCGGGUGUAGCAAUACACCAGAGGCGUACGGGUGAGUAACACGUAGGUAACCUGCCCUCGAGCUCGGAAUACCCAGACGAAAGUUUGGCUAAUACCGAAUAAGAAUAUUGGAGGCAUCUCCGAUAUUUGAAAGGCGCUUUUAAAAGCGUCACUCUUGGAUGGACCUGCGGCACAUUAGCUAGUUGGUGAGACAAUAGCCCACCAAGGCAAGGAUGUGUAGCCGAUCUGAGAGGAUGACCGGCCACAAUGGGACUGAGACACGGCCCAUACUCCUACGGGAGGCAGCAGUAGGGAGUUUUCGGCAAUGGGGGAAACCCUGACCGAGCAACGCCGCGUGAGUGAUGAAGGUCUUCGGAUUGUAAAGCUCUGUUACAGGGGACGAAUGAUCGCUAUAGGAAAUGAUAGCGGUUCGACGGUACCCUGCCAGAAAGUGACGGCUAACUACGUG